UACAGGGGGUGCAAGCGUUAUUCGGAAUUAUUGGGCGUAAAGAGCGCGUAGGCGGUUUGGUAAGUUUGGUGUGAAAUCCCUGGACUCAAUUCAGGAAGUGCAUUGAAUACUGCUAAACUAGAGUACUGGAGAGGAGAGUGGAAUUCCUGGUGUAGAGGUGAAAUUCGUAGAUAUCAGGAGGAACACCAACGGCGAAGGCAGCUUGCUGGGACGUUACUGACGCUGAGACGCGAAAGCGUGGGGAGCAAACAGG
rnacentral:rRNA from 1 species